rnacentral:rRNA from 1 species
CUUUUAUUGAGAGUUUGAUCCUGGCUCAGGACGAACGCUGGCGGCGUGCCUAAUACAUGCAAGUCGAG